CGCUGUUUUCUGCAGGUUUCAUGUCGAAAGCGAAAGCAGCUGUGGUUCGGAGCAGCUGGAGGACAGAGGAGAAAGCGGGCGAGAUCAUCAGCGAAUAUAAAAGAAUAAAUGGAUUUCAAAGCCAUUGUCAAGCGUAACAAACCAGAUCUGAUCAAAUGGCUGCACGGGAAUGAUAUAGUUCUACAAUAUGUAGAUUCACAGGAAAUUAUAUCAUCCACUGAAUAUAAAAACCUGAAGAUAAUUGACAAUUAUGAUAAAAAGAAUACAAUGCUCCUGGAUAUGAUCUGGGAUAAAGGACAGGACUCUUGCCGGAAUUUUUUAAAUGUACUGAAGAAGGGUGGUGUGAACGAGUCAAGCCCAGAUCUCCAGAGAUGGAUAUCCACUGUGGACACCUCUGAUACCUCAGCAACAAGUGUCCAGACUCCAGUGGCCGGUGUCUCAACCUCAGGUAGGGUUGUGAAUAUUCAAGCCGAUGGUGCCAGUCAUGUUGUUGCCCCCCUAAUAUUUAACUCAAAUACGGGUGGCAUCAAUAUAACUGUGAAUAAACCAAACAAAUAAGGAUUGAUGAAAAACGUCACAUAAUCAAUGCAAACAGCUCCACCUCUCCUGCUGGGAAUCAGACAAUUGCAGAUAAAAAGGAGUUCCUGAAGACAAAACGAAGUAAAUUAAUAAAUAAAGUAAAAAAUGUGGAUGCAAUUGCAGAUGACCUCAACCUGACAAAUGAAAUGAGAUCUAUUGUGGAAGCUCAACUAACUGACCAUGCCAAAAUGAGGAAAGUGCUGGAAUUUACAAACAGCACCAAAGCAACUGAGCUUCUGAUCGAUGCCUUGUGGAAGCAUGCAGGUGACAUCAUGGAGGACCUGACCAGUGAAGCCUAAUGUGGCGUAUAAACAGCAGGUCCUGUGAGUUAUGAAAUGACCAAAUAAGGCAUUAUGUUAGAUUUUUUUAGUUUGAUUACAUGAUUUUUUACAUUCCUUUUAUUAACAUGGAUGAGGGGAGCAUUAUUAAGAUAUUCUGUAGAUUGAUAGCAUGCAUUGAUUAUGUUGUGGGACUAAUUUUUACACCAAAAUUUGUUGUUUUACCCACUUGUUCAGGGACAUUCACAGAUGCUGAAUUUAGAUUUUAUACUUCCCUUAAUACUGCCUGACUUCAGAGCACUUGAGCCUUAUUUAUUGCUGUAGUUGAAGGUUUUAUAUGAAUGGUCAGUUCUUUUUAAUGAAAAUGUCAUUUUUAUAACAAACAUUUACUUGUAAUUACCUGUUAUCAGACAUUAACUUUGGGGAGUGUUAGGGAUGUAUUUAGAAUGAUAAAUACAUGAAACAAAACCUCAAAUACUAUACAAAUCAACACAAUACUAUAUUAUAGAAUGAAUCAUGGCUAAAUUGAGACUGUUACAGUAGUUUUGUGGAUUGCCUCAUUGUUUCUAUACCACCUACAUUAGAUUUUGAUUUAUUUCCAGUGAACUCCUAGACACAUUUGAGAUUUUUGACUCCUAGGAGUUACAUGUAAUAGUAAUAAAAAAAUCAAAGUAGAACAAGAAUAUAUGCUUAUCUCAGGCCUAAUUACAUAAUGUAAAAUGGCAUGUGGGAUGCUUACAACAUACAUAAAAUGGACAGCCUGACCAGUGAAGCUUAGUGUGGCAUUUAAAACCUCUGUUACUUCAGGGAUAGCAGGUCCUGUAAAUUAUGAAAUGAUCAAAUUAGAAUCAUGUGAGAUUAUUUUUCUCUGACUCUAAUGUUAUUUUGGUGUGUUUUAUACAUUAUUUUUAUAUUACCUACAUUCCACAGACAUUGUUUUUUAUAUAUUUUUUAAAUUAACUACUUAUGGAUCAGGAGAACAUUACCAAGGCAGCUUCUAUUUAAAUAGAUAGCAUAGAAGCAUCUGUUAAAAUGUGCAGAACUUAAUUUUUAUACAAAGCUUGUUCAGGGGUAUUGUUUUUUUGUUUUUGUUUUUUUUACCUCUGUAUGCCUAUGUCUUACAUUGACUUUGGAAUGUAUUUUUAUCAUACUUUUUACAAUAAGCCUGUGGCAAUUACCUGUGUUAUUAACAAACGUUAAUUGUGAUUGGCGGGAAUGUGGGAGAGCCAUGGAAAAACAAGCUUUAUUGAAUGGUAAAUAAAUUUAUCAAAACUGA